rnacentral:rRNA from 1 species
GACAGAGGUGGCGAGCGUUGUUCGGAAUUACUGGGCUUAAAGGGCGCGUAGGCGGUGGUGUAAGUCUGGGGUGGAAUGCUACAGCUCAACUGUAGAGCUGCCUUGGAAACUGCAUUACUUGAGUCGGUGAGGGGAAGGCGGAAUUCCUGGUGUAGCGGUGAAAUGCGUAGAUAUCAGGAGGAAGGUCUGUGGCGAAGGCGGCCUUCUGGCACUUGACUGACGCUGAGGCGCGAAAGCGUGGGGAGCAAAC